rnacentral:rRNA from 1 species
CAGCAGCCACGGGAAUACAGAGGGUGCAAGCGUUAAUCGGAAUUACUGGGCGUAAAGCGCGCGUAGGUGGUUUGUUAAGUUGGAUGUGAAAGCCCCGGGCUCAACCUGGGAACUGCAUCCAAAACUGGCAAGCUAGAGUACGGUAGAGGGUGGUGGAAUUUCCUGUGUAGCGGUGAAAUGCGUAGAUAUAGGAAGGAACACCAGUGGCGAAGGCGACCACCUGGACUGAUACUGACACUGAGGUGCGAAAGCGUGGGGAGCAAACAGGAUUAGAUACCCGCGUAGUCCCUGUCUCUUAUAC